rnacentral:lncRNA from 1 species
UUUUCAAGGAGAAUGCUAUUGUUGCAUUAUAUGCAGAUUAGGCAGCGCUAGUGAAGAUUAUAAUUGCUGUUACUGAGCUGAAUUGUUUUUGUUUUCGGUUCAUCACUCUCUUUUGCCCUUACCGCCUUAUAUUAUUGAAUGGGGUUGCAGGAAAUAGGAAACUUGCUCAAAGCCUACAGGUUUAUCUUCUGUCAAGAGACUACUAUUGUUUGAAGUUGGAGUUGGAACAUGGAAAUGGGCAGGUUUGUUUUUGGUUAUGAAGGAGUGGCUUCAUAAUUGGAGAAAUUUACGUGGAUUGAAAUAUGUUAACCAGUGAGGUGAAUAGAGGAAGAAGAUGAAGGUAGAAUGAAGGGAAGGAGUCUGAAGGUUGGGAGGAAAUUAUGGUUUUGUGGAGAGAAUUCAGAGAUUCUGCGAAGGGAGGGUGAGAAGAAGAGAGCAACCUGCGUGAGCUGUUUGCAUGAUGCUUUUAUCGUGGGGGACAAAUUUAGCAAUGUGGAAGUCUGAAGGUCACCAAGCUGUGGUUCGUGAACCAAUUGCAGGGUCCUUGAACUAGCU